CCUGCUGUCGCUCAUUAAGCGAACGGUUCCCAUUUUAGGUCACAGCUUACCUUCAGCAUCCACAGAAUCCACAGACCUGUCACUUAGCCCUCUCUUUGUUUUCUCAUUCGUUUUCAGCAGCAGACGUGCCAAAGACGGGCAGAAACACGGGGAUCGUAUGCCGCGCAGGUGCAGUUGAAUGCACCCCGGUGCUGUGUGUAAACUGAUAGACAAAUUUCAACACUGUGCACAUGAGACGGGAGCGGAACUAGGAGAACGGGUGAUAAAUUUGAGCUGUUAUCCCUGCACAGAUUUUUCAUGUGGAAACGUGUUCUUGAUUCUCUUGAGUGACUAUCCAAGGACUGGAAUGCGGGGGGGUAUGGUGAAUAUGUCUUCCAUUUUGAACAACUCCCAAGACGUUCUCCAUGGUGGCCGCACCAUUUUAACAUCCCACCGCAGCGUCUGAGAGCACAGGUUCCUCCAUCCUUCAGGUGCUUGUCCUUGACAGUCUUCUUUAUUCCACUGGUCCUCAUAGAGGUCAUACCUUGCUGGUGUACAGAAACAUGACUGACAUUUGGCUAUUGACUUGUCUCCUUGUACCGUCUGGAACUCCAUUUUUAGUUCUGAGUUUACUGUGUCUUCCUUAUGAUUUUCUGUACACAAAAGCAUGCUACCUGUAAAAUGGAGGUAGUUUCACUUCUUCUCUACAUUCUGGAUGUCUUUUUAAUUUGUCCUAAUUGCAUAACUGUCCUGGCUAGAACCUCUAACAUAAAUUUGAAAGUGGUGAGAAUGCGGCAUUUAUUUUUUCAUAAAUAAGUAGUGUAGACUUUUAGUAGGUGCAUUUCUCAGGUUGAGAAUGCCCCCUUAUAUGUUUUUCUAAUCAUGAAAGGGUGGCAACUUUAUUUUAAGUAUUUUCUAUAUUUACUGAGGAGAUGAUAUGGCUGUUUGCCCUAAAUCGUAUCAAAAUGAUGUGUCGCACUGAUUGAUUUUCAUAUCUUGAACAAAUUCUGCAUCCCUAAAGUGAAUGCCACUUUCUCUUCAUGUACAGUAAGAUUUGCAUGUUGCUGAUCUGGUCACUAGUGUAGUACUGAGAAUUUUGCUUCCAUAUUCACAAGGGAUAUUGGGCUAUACUUUUAUUUCCUUGGGAUGCCUUUCUCUGGUUUGCUAUGAAAGUAAAACUGACUUCACAGGAUUAAUCUUCUUUACUAAACAGAGUUUGUGAUUUAAAUAACUUGAAUCUUCUUUUAGCAAUUACUCUAAUGAGCACAUUUUAGUACAAUUUAACUCUUUAAUAUUAAUUUUUUGUUUGCUUUAUUGAAAUUUAUUAUUAAUAUAGCUUUUUGAUUGCAUUUUUAAUGAAUUUCCUUUAUUUCAUUUUUGUCUACUGCAAAAGCAAUUGGGAAAUCUCUGUAGACCUUUGGAAUAUAUUUAAAAUGAUAACACUCAGUAAGCUCAGAUCUAUCCAUCAUAGUUUGGUUUUCUAAAAAUAGUAAGUUCUUAAACUGUGGCAUUUGACUUCAUUCUCUGGUAUGCUAAGAAUCUGAGCACAGGUUGUAGAUGAAAUUUAUGCCAUGGUCUAUUUACAAUUCUAAUCUUGACUAUUAGAAAAAUAAUUGUCACCUAACGUGUAGAAGAUCUAAACACACAACACUCAAGCAAUUUGAAAGUAAAUUUCAAAGGGGAAAUAAAAAUAAUAGAGGAAGGAAUAUAUUUUGAUAAAAUAUUUUACAAAUAUUUUUGGCAGCUUUAUGAAUUACAAAUAAGCAACUUAUGACAAAUCCCUGUUUAAAUUCAUAAAAUGCUCAUUAAUCACUUAACACUUGUAUCAACUAUGAUAAAUUGAUUAGUUUGUCAGAUGUAACUGUUAAAUUGCAUAUCACAGCAAUAAUUUUCCUCUUCUCAGUUUAUUUGUCCUAAAAUAUUUAAAUAUUAUUUAAAAUAAAAUAUGUAAAUAACAUGAAUAAAAAGUAAAUUGAAUGCAAUAAAAAUUAGAUUAAUAUUUCAUAUCCAAGUUUGCAUUUUUUUCAAAAAGAGAAAUAAUGAAAUCAUAUCUUUUAUACCAAACAUGAUAUUUAUUAGAUUUAACUGCCUUCUGUACAUUUCCAUGACAAAUCUGAAGAUAAUAAUACAUACCACGACAGCCAGCAUAACUGCUCUCACUAUACACCACAAGCUCAGCAUGUUGCAAGGUCUGAAUAGUCUCCAGGCCGAUUCUUGCUGCUUUGGUGAGGAAGGUCAACUUCCCCUCUCUUAUUUCCACCAUUCCUUUCCUUGUAUCUCCUCAGCACACC